CUAAGUUAGCAAGUAAGCGUCCUCUCAUGGUCACGUGCAAGGCACGUGCCAAAUGGUAGUUCCAGAGAAGUCCUCCCAAUCGCGAGGCGACCAAAGUAUAAAGAGAGGCAGCGAUAGCCGACAGGGCUCGGAGUCAGCGAGCGAGAGAGGCCUUUGGAUCGAGGGACGAGAGUGAGAGAGAGAGAGAGAGAGAGAGAGAGAGAGAGAG
rnacentral:lncRNA from 1 species